AUUGAACGCUGGCGGCAGGCCUAACACAUGCAAGUCGAGCGGGGUUUUCGGACCUAGCGGCGGACGGGUGAGUAAUGCGUAGGAAGCUACCCGAUAGAGGGGGAUACCAGUUGGAAACGACUGUUAAUACCGCAUAAUGUCUACGGACCAAAGUGUGGGACCUUCGGGCCACAUGCUAUCGGAUGCGCCUACGUGGGAUUAGCUAGUUGGUGGGGUAAUGGCUCACCAAGGCGAUGCUCCCUAGCUGGUUUGAGAGGAUGAUCAGCCACACUGGAACUAGGACACGGGCCAGACUCCUACGGGAGGCAGCAGUGGGGAAUAUUGGACAAUGGGCGCAAGCCUGAUCCAGCCAUGCCGCGUGUGUGAGGAAGGCCUUCGGGUUGUAAAGCACUGUCCGUAGGGAGGAAGGAUGUUGUGUUAAUAGCACAGCAUUUUGACGUUACCUACAGAAGAAGCACCGGCUAACUCUGUGCCAGCCGCCGCCGUAAUAC
rnacentral:rRNA from 1 species